AAACAUGUUUUUUUGAAAAUAAUUUGAAGUUUAAUUUGCCCACUGAUNAAAUUAUUAAAGGGCUGCAGUAUUUUGACUGUACAAAGGUAGCAUAAUCAUUAGUCUCUUAAUUGGUGACUUGUAUGAAAGAUUGGAUGAAAUAUAUACUGUCUCUAAUUAAUUUAUAAAAUUUAAUUUUUUAGUAAAAAAGCUAAAAUAAGUUUAAAAGACGAGAAGACCCUAUAGAGUUUAAUGAUUUAUUUGAUUAUUAUUAAUAUAUAAAUUUUAAAAUUAAAAUUAAAUGAAUUAUUUUAUUGGGGUGAUAGAAAAAUUAAAUUAACUUUUUUUUUUUUUUAAACGUGAAUUUAUGAGUAGAUGAUCCAUUAAUAAUGAUUAAAAGAAAAAAUUACCUUAGGGAUAACAGCGUAAUUUUUUUUUUUAGUUCAAAUAGGAAAAAAAGUUUGCGACCUCGAUGUUGGAUUAAGAUAAAAUUUAAAUGCAAAAGUUUAAAAUUUUAAUCUGUUCGAUCAUUAAAAUCUUA
rnacentral:rRNA from 1 species